rnacentral:rRNA from 1 species
GACGAACGCUGGCGGCGUGCUUAACACAUGCAAGUCGAACGGAAAGGCCCUGCUUUUGUGGGGUGCUCGAGUGGCGAACGGGUGAGUAACACGUGAGUAACCUGCCCUUGACUUUGGGAUAACUUCAGGAAACUGGGGCUAAUACCGGAUAGGAGCUCCUGCUGCAUGGUGGGGGUUGGAAAGUUUCGGCGGUUGGGGAUGGACUCGCGGCUUAUCAGCUUGUUGGUGGGGUAGUGGCUUACCAAGGCUUUGACGGGUAGCCGGCCUGAGAGGGUGACCGGCCACAUUGGGACUGAGAUACGGCCCAGACUCCUACGGGAGGCAGCAGUGGGGAAUAUUGCACAAUGGGCGGAAGCCUGAUGCAGCAACGCCGCGUGCGGGAUGACUGCCUUCGGGUUGUAAACCUCUUUCGCCUGUGACGAAGCGUGAGUGACGGUAAUGGGUAAAGAAGCACCGGCUAACUACGUG